UACGUAGGUGGCGAGCGUUGUCCGGAUUUACUGGCGUAAAGAGCGCGCAGGCGGUUCGUGCAAGUCGCGUGUGAAAGCCCCCGGCUCAACUGGGGAGGGUCACGCGAUACUGCUCGACUCGAAGGCAGGAGAGGGAAGUGGAAUUCCUGGUGUAGCGGUGGAAUGCGCAGAUAUCAGGAGGAACACCAAUGGCGAAGGCAGCACUCUGGGACGUGACUGACGCUGAGACGCGAAGCGUGGGGAGCAAACAGG
rnacentral:rRNA from 1 species